GGGGCUGUGGCUUGGUGAUAGAGUGCUUGCCUAGCAUGCAUGAGGCACUGGGUUUGAUCCCCAGCUCCA
rnacentral:tRNA from 1 species